AUUGAACGCUGGCGGCAUGCCUAACACAUGCAAGUCGAGCGGGGUUUUCGGACCUAGCGGCGGACGGGUGAGUAAUGCGUAGGAAGCUACCCGAUAGAGGGGGAUACCAGUUGGAAACGACUGUUAAUACCGCAUAAUGUCUACGGACCAAAGUGUGGGACCUUCGGGCCACAUGCUAUCGGAUGCGCCUACGUGGGAUUAGCUAGUUGGUGAGGUAAUGGCUCACCAAGGCGACGAUCCCUAGCUGGUUUGAGAGGAUGAUCAGCCACACUGGAACUGAGACACGGUCCAGACUCCUACGGGAGGCAGCAGUGGGGAAUAUUGGACAAUGGGCGCAAGCCUGAUCCAGCCAGGCCGCGUGUGUGAAGAAGGCCUUCGGGUUGUAAAGCACUUUCAGUAGGGAGGAAGCGUUGUGUGUUAAUAGUACACAGCGUUGACGUUACUCGCAGAAGAAGCACCGGCUAACUCCGUGCCAGCCGCCGCAGUAAAAC
rnacentral:rRNA from 1 species